ACGAACGCUGGCGGCGUGCUUAACACAUGCAAGUCGAGCGGUAAGGCCCUUUCGGGGGUACACGAGCGGCGAACGGGUGAGUAACACGUGGGUGACCUGCCCUUAGCUCUGGGAUAAGCCUGGGAAACUGGGUCUAAUACCGGAUAUGACUCCAUGACGCAUGUUGUGGGGUGGAAAGCCUUGUGCGGCUAGGGAUGGGCCCGCGGCCUAUCAGCUUGUUGGUGGGGUGAUGGCCUACCAAGGCGACGACGGGUAGCCGGCCUGAGAGGGCGACCGGCCACACUGGGACUGAGACACGGCCCAGACUCCUACGGGAGGCAGCAGUGGGGAAUCUUGCGCAAUGGGCGAAAGCCUGACGCAGCGACGCCGCGUGAGGGAUGACGGCCUCGGUUGUAACGUCUU
rnacentral:rRNA from 1 species